UUUCUUUCACCUCAUACUUACUCCCGAAUGCUAAUACUAUGUGGGAAUGCAUAAAGUACACACAGAAAGAAGGUAGAUGAAGGGUCGGGGUGCUGCUCUACUUUGUUGUUGGGGGUUUGGAGAACAAGACACCAUUGGCCUGUACGGUGCGGCUCAGGUUCCCCUUCAUUGUUGACCUUCCUGCACGGUAGCACGGUGGAGAACGUACGUAGUUGUGGUGACCACGAAGGAGUAAGAUCAUCACACAGCCAAUGAACAGCCUGUAAGUUGAAAUCUGAGGCUGUUCAGCUUCAUUGGUACAGCCAACACACGGAUGUUGUAAGACCAAUCAAACUUGCAAUAAAAGUACUACCUUGUAAAAAAGUACUACUUGCAAUAAAAGUACUACCUUGUGUUCCAUACGGGCGUCAUUGCAUUUAAGAUUUGAACCUAAUUCAUCAAGUAGAUCGAAUUUGGUAUUGGAUCGCCACAACGGGUGUACCUAAUGAUGUGGCCACAUGGUUGCCAGGGUCAGUGAUCAUGUGACUUGUGCACAGAAAAAGCGUUUCAUCUCAUUUUCUGCCUCCAAGAGUGACUUUUUCUCUCACUGCUAAGUCCUGGCAAGAAGGCCACCUUGGAAACUAAGAGAACCUUGCUUGCUAAGUCUGUGGUAAAAAAAAAACAAAAAAAAAACCCUGCAGUGAAGUAAAUAAUCCCUUCUAAGGGGAUAUGAAGAGGCUUUGCAGUAAAGCUUCAGCAGCCAUGAGUCAGUCGGGUUGUGGGAAGGAAGCGAGCUGCCCUUGUUGUCACCCUGCACAACCACAACGCUCACAUGAC